CUCCCCUUUUGCGGGGGAGCGGGAGGAAAGUCCGGGCUCCACAGGGCAGGGUGCUGGUUAACGGCCAGCCGGGGCGACCCGACGGAAAGUGCCACAGAAAGCAGACCGCCGCGGCUUCCGGCCGGGUAAGGGUGAAACGGUGCGGUAAGAGCGCACCGCGGCUCCGGCAACGGCGGCGGCACGGCAAACCCCACCCGGAGCAAGACCAAAUAGGGGUGACGCCGCGCAAGCGAGGCCGGUUUCGAGGCCAGUUACUCGGGUUGGUUGCUCAAGGUCCGUGGCAACACGGCUCUCAGAGGAAUGGCC
rnacentral:RNase_P_RNA from 1 species